rnacentral:rRNA from 1 species
UACGGGGGGGGGCAAGCGUUGUUCGGAAUUACUGGGCGUAAAGGGCUCGUAGGCGGCCAACUAAGUCAUACGUGAAAUCCCCCGGCUUAACCGGGAAACUGCGUCUGAUACUGGAUGGCUUGAGUUCGGGAGAGGGAUGCGGAAUUCCAGGUGUAGCGGUGAAAUGCGUAGAUAUCUGGAGGAACACCGGUGGCGAAGGCGGCAUCCUGGACCGAUACUGACGCUGAGGAGCGAAAGCCAGGGGAGCAAACGGG